rnacentral:rRNA from 1 species
CCUACGGGGGGCAGCAGUGAGGAAUAUUGGUCAAUGGGCGAGAGCCUGAACCAGCCAAGUCGCGUGAGGGAGUACUGCCCUAUGGGUUGUAAACCUCUUUUGUCGGGGAGCAAAAGCCGGACGUGUCCGGCUGUGAGAGUACCCGAAGAAAAAGCAUCGGCUAACUCCGUGCCAGCAGCCGCGGUAAUACGGGGGAUGCGAGCGUUAAUCGGAAUUACUGGGCGUAAAGCGCUCGUAGGCGGUAUGUCAAGUCAAGGGUGAAAUCCCCGCGCUCAACGUGGGAACUGCCUUUGAAACUGGCAAACUGGAGUGUGUGAGAGGAUAGUGGAAUUCCAGGUGUAGGAGUGAAAUCCGUAGAUAUCUGGAAGAACACCAGUGGCGAAGGCGGCUUUCUGGACUGAAACUGACGCUGAGGCACGAAAGCGUGGGGAGCGAACAGGAUUAGAUACCCGUGUAGUC